UACGGAGGGGGGCUAGCGUUGUUCGGAAUUACUGGGCGUAAAGCGCGCGUAGGCGGACCUGCAAGUCGGGGGGUGAAAGCCCGAGGCUCAACCUCGGAACUGCCUUCGAUACUGCGGGUCUCGAGUCCGGGAGAGGUGAGUGGAAUUCCUAGUGUAGAGGUGAAAUUCGUAGAUAUUCGCAAGAACACCAGUGGCGAAGGCGGCUCACU
rnacentral:rRNA from 1 species